CUAGUGAUGUUAUUCUAGAAUUCUUCCAGAUUUCUCACCCCCAAAAUCGAGAGAUGAUAUUCACGUGAUCCAAAUCUGCUCCAUAAUUUUCAUCCGACUGCAAAUUGCAGACGACAUGACAACUGAUUCGAUUAUCAGUUUUGAUUUGGAUGGGUUUUCUAGAAGUCCACCAUAUGGUCAAUUGCAGGUUCGGGAAAUAGUUCUGCAAGCUGAUUCGUGUCCAUGAAGGAAAGGCCGUGAAGUUGAUGGCGAAACCAUUGCGUCUGUGUGGAAAGUGCGGAGAAAUGUGUCCCCGUGACUAUAAAUUUUGGCAGCCAAAAGGAAUAAGCGAACACUUAGUUCAUUUUGAUGUACUUGAAGAUUGUAGUCGUAUUUGUUUUUACCUUACCAGAUUGCAAAUUAAAG